UCUGGAGUGCCAGAGUUUAUGGGUGUGGUUUAGGAUCAUGUUAUGACAUUAUUUUGUCCUCUAGGC
rnacentral:tRNA from 1 species